GGCUCAGGAUGAACGCUGGCGGCGUGCCUAAUACAUGCAAGUCGAACGAACUUCCGUUAAUUGAUUAUGACGUGCUUGCACUGAAUGAGAUUUUAACACGAAGUGAGUGGCGGACGGGUGAGUAACACGUGGGUAACCUGCCCAGAAGCAGGGGAUAACACCUGGAAACAGAUGCUAAUACCGUAUAACAGAGAAAACCGCCUGGUUUUCUUUUAAAAGAUGGCUCUGCUAUCACUUCUGGAUGGACCCGCGGCGCAUUAGCUAGUUGGUGAGGUAACGGCUCACCAAGGCGAUGAUGCGUAGCCGACCUGAGAGGGUAAUCGGCCACAUUGGGACUGAGACACGGCCCAGACUCCUACGGGAGGCAGCAGUAGGGAAUCUUCCACAAUGGACGCAAGUCUGAUGGAGCAACGCCGCGUGAGUGAAGAAGGGUUUCGGCUCGUAAAGCUCUGUUGUUAAAGAAGAACGUGGGUGAGAGUAACUGUUCACCCAGUGACGGUAUUUAACCAGAAAGCCACGGCUAACUACGUGCCAGCAGCCGCGGUAAUACGUAGGUGGCAAGCGUUAUCCGGAUUUAUUGGGCGUAAAGCGAGCGCAGGCGGUCUUUUAAGUCUAAUGUGAAAGCUUCGGCUCAACCGAAGAAGUGCAU
rnacentral:rRNA from 1 species